CAGCAAGAGAGAUAUUUGGAUCCAGAGAGCAAGUUUGGUUUCUAAGAUUUUCCAGAUUUUUGUGAUGCCCUGAGAACUGCAAGAGUAAUUUUCUCACCAUUUUCUGUGCAUUUCAAGAUCUUACCGCCUAUCCCACAGGAAGAAGAGGAAAAGACUGAGCACGACAUGUAUCACCAGCUUAUUGUAAAGCAAACAAGGAAAAAGGAUGGAGAGAAGGAAAUCUCCCAUUGCCAACUGAAUCUCUAUGCUGAUCAUCUGUGAGAGUGACAAAUUAAGACUUUUCUGGAGGAAUGAGAGAGCCAGCAAGAAAGGCUCUCUAGCCUCACUCAGAUGAUUGCUUGAAAAUGAGAGAAAAAAGAGAUAUCUGAUAAUUGAUGAAAUCAUUGUUCAUUUUUGGCACCUGAAGUUGAUGGACUGGGAGACUGCAUGCCAAAGAUGGUCGUCAUAAUAUGCCAGUAGGUGACAAAUCUUGAUUUGUUU
rnacentral:lncRNA from 1 species